UGGGGAAUAUUGGACAAUGGGCGCAAGCCUGAUCCAGCAAUGCCGCGUGAGUGAUGAAGGCCUUAGGGUUGUAAAGCUCUUUCGCACGCGACGAUGAUGACGGUAGCGUGAGAAGAAGCCCCGGCUAACUUCGUGCCAGCAGCCGCGGUAAUACGAAGGGGGCUAGCGUUGUUCGGAAUUACUGGGCGUAAAGGGCGCGUAGGCGGCCUGUUUAGUCAGAAGUGAAAGCCCCGGGCUCAACCUGGGAAUAGCUUUUGAUACUGGCAGGCUUGAGUUCCGGAGAGGAUGGUGGAAUUCCCAGUGUAGAGGUGAAAUUCGUAGAUAUUGGGAAGAACACCGGUGGCGAAGGCGGCCAUCUGGACGGACACUGACGCUGAGGCGCGAAAGCGUGGGGAGCAACAGGAUUAGAUACCCUGGUAGUCCACGCCGUAAACGAUGAAUGCUAGACGUCGGGGUGCAUGCACUUCGGUGUCGCCGCUAACGCAUUAAGCAUUCCGCCUGGGGGAGUACGGCCGCAAGGUUAAAACUUAAAUGAAUUGACGGGGUC
rnacentral:rRNA from 1 species